AGAGUUAAAGGCGUAUCUCUACUAUAUAACACAAAAAUGGAUAGUAGAGGUAUACCCAUUAGCUCUGA
rfam:Caenorhabditis brenneri strain PB2801 C_brenneri-6.0.1_Cont91.12, whole genome shotgun sequence.